AGAACGGUAUUUGCACUGGGAUUCAUCGAAACGCCGAGAAAUCGGUGGGAUGGGCGAGACGGAGCCACGGAACGGCCCCGACACGGCCGGAACGGUACCGGAACAGCAGAAUUUAAAAAAAAAAACAUAAUUUGCCUAAAAAAAAGAAAAAUAAUGACUAAUUUGACUUUAAAAAAAAAAGGAAAAAAAACAUAAUUAAUAUUUCUCUCAUGGCUAGUGACUUUUGUACUAUUUUGGUUUUUACUAUUUAACUUGUGACUUGUGAAUUAUUUCUUGGAUUCUAAUAUUUUUUAUUAUGAUGAAUUUGAUUUUACUAUUGGGUGCAAAUUUACAUCCAUGUCUCCCACAUCCAUGUCUUUCACAUCAUCACAUGCACUUUAGGCUAUAGCCUUUCACAUCCAUGUCUCCCACAAGCCAUUCCACUCAAUAAUAGAACAACUAAUAAUUAUACAGAACGUGAUUGAUACCUGCUUUUAUUUCAAUACAUAAUAUACAUAGGGAGGCAUUGCAGAGGCAUUGGAGAGGCAGAGAGUAAAAAAGAAAAAUAUAAACAAAUUCAUUAAGAAAAAAAUUGAAGUGUUCGAUCAUCAACUCUUCUCUCCAAGAAUGGGUCCAAAAACUGAUAUAGGUUGGGAUUUCGGCGACAUGGUUGGUGAAAAUCGAAAGAAAAUCAAUGUAAAUUCUGUCAAGUAGUUACUACAUGCGGCAUAACCAGAUUAAAACAACAUAUCGCUCAUAUAUCUGGAGAAGUAGAAGUAGAGGCAUGUAAAAAGGCUCCGAAAGAAAUUUCGCUAAUGUUGCGAAAACAUCUUCAAGAGAGCAAAACUACCAGAGAAUUAAUGAAAAAAACAAAAGAAACAGCUAUAAUGUCCAUUAGAGAAGAAUGUAGGCACAUACAUGACGUUGAUACUGAAAGUAGCAGCGAGAAUGAUGAUGAACAAGGUUCCCGAUAUGCAAAUAAAGAAUAUCUAUCACAAAUGGAGAAGAAGCAAUUACGGAAUGCAACGAGAGAAAGUCGAAAGCAAGCUUUCGAUGAAGAGGAGCGUAUGCGAUACAAUGACGGUAUAUGAACUUUUAUAUCCUAGUACAUUGUUAUACUUGUAAAAUAUGUCAAUUAAUUAGUAUUAUUUAAUUGUAGGGCAUAUUGGUGGUACUUAUCGAGGUCAAACGUCUGGUACGAAACGAGGAAUAUUCCGUAGCUCUACCGUAAGAGAAGGACCUAAGAAGUCUUCAAGCGGGGUAGAUCCUUUCAUGUUCCCGUCAAAACAAAAAAGUCUUAAACAAUUCUUCGCUCCUCAAAAAAUCAAAGCAGUUGGUAAGUCCAUUUCAAAGUGGUUUUUAUUUAAUGCUAUUCCGUUUAAUGCUGCUGAUAGUGGGCCUUAUUAUCAAUCUAUGAUAAAUACUAUUGCUGAGGCGGGGACUGGAAUUAUGGGUCCUUCUGGCCGUCAAAUCUGUAGUACUUAUCUAGAUGAAGAAGUUUCUGAAAUUGACGGUUAUAUAUCCACUUUGAAAGCAAAAUGGCCAGAAUAUGGUUGCACAAUCAUGUGUGAUGGGUGGAGUACAAAAAAUAAGCAUCCUAUCAUCAGUUUAUAUUGUGAUGGAUCAAUGAUAUAUCAUACUUCUGUGGAUUGUACUGAUAUAAUAAAGAAUGCAGAUUUUAUUUUGUCUCUUAUAAAUAAAGUCAUUGAUGAGAUAGGAGAGCAAAAUGUUGUACAAGUUGUUACAGACAGUGAAGCUUCAAACAAAGCUGCUGAGAAAGGUUGAUGCUGGAAAGGCCGCAUAUAUUUUGGUCUCCUUGCGUUGCACAUUACAUCGAUCUGAUGUUGGAAGAUAUCGGUAAGAUGACCAAAAUAAAAAGAUGCAUAGAAAAUGCAAAAAAAAUUACAAGUUUUAUUUACAACAGUGACAAAAUAGUGAAUCUUAUGAAGUCGUAUACAAAAGAACGAGAGUUGUUAAGGCCAGGAAUUACAAGAUUUGCAACAAUAUUUAUUGCUAUUGAAAGUCUUGUUCGACAUUCUAUGGAGCUGAAGAGAAUGUGUAAGACUCCUGAGUGGGAAGUUUUUAACAACACUACAAAACGACGGAGUGAAGUCGAAAAUGUGUCAAGUACAUAUUGAAUAACAAAUUUUGGAGCAGAGCCCGAGAAGUUUGUUCAUUAAUGGAACCACUUGUGAAGGUUCUAAAACUGGUGGAUCAAGAUAAAAAGGCCACAUUACCAAUUGUUUAUGAAGCUAUGGAUAGGGCGAAAAUGGCAAUCAAAGAGACGGUUAAAGAUUGGCAAACUUAUUAGACUGUGAUAGACGACUGUGAUAGACGACAGGUGGUACAAAAUGUUACAUCAAGAUUUGCAUGCUGCAAGUAAUCUAAAGUUUUAUUUUAAA